rnacentral:misc_RNA from 1 species
GCAAAGAUGGCUAGUUCAGUCAAAGUGGUUCGAGAAAAGGCUUCUGAGCUUAGCUCAAACGCUAGUAGAUCGGUGGAAGGCAUCCGGGGUGAUGCAUCGGAGUUCAGCUCCAGCGUCAAGGACAAGGUGAGGACGGUUGUUGAAGACUGCAAGGGAAGCGUUGAUAAGAUCACUCAGAAGUUCAGAGCUUAAUCGAAGAGCGAGUAUUUAUGGGGUGGUAACUGUCGGUAUUGGUACAACUGGUGCAGGUUAGUUUUUUAUAUGUUAAUUACUUUUUAAUAAUUUGUGGUACUUUUACCUUUUGUAUGAUAUAUACUCAUCUGUGCUCUGUGCACUAGACAGAAUAAGUGGAGAAUAUGUGCAGUGGCAUUUCGAAAUAAAUCGUCCAACUUGAUAACUUAGCAUAAAUUCAGCGAUAUGAGAUGGAUAUCAUAUUUGUACCUAAUGGCG